rnacentral:snRNA from 1 species
GUGCUUCCUUCAGAAGCGUAUGUACUACAAUCGGAACAGUACGGAGAUCAGCAUUGCUCCUGCGCAAAAUUAACAUGCAAAUUCAUGAGGCAUUUUAUUUAAAA